UGCCAGCAGCCGCGGUAAUACGGAGGGUGCGAGCGUUAAUCGGAAUUACUGGGCGUAAAGGGUGCGUAGGUGGUUUAUUAAGUUACCUGUGAAAGCCCUCGGCUCAACCGAGGAAUUGCGUUUGAUACUACUUUGCUAGAGUCUCGGAGAGGAAAGUGGAAUUCCGAGUGUAGGGGUGAAAUCCGUAGAUAUUCGGAGGAACACCAGUGGCGAAGGCGGCUUUCUGGACCAAUACUGACGCUGAGAUGCGAAAGCGUGGGGAGCGAACAGGAUUAGAUA
rnacentral:rRNA from 1 species